rnacentral:lncRNA from 1 species
AGUUCUUGAUCCCGACUUUAAACUUGACAAGGAAUAUUUAGUAUAAUAUAAUGAUCUAAAUCUAUGGAAUACUUGUUAUAGCUGGGAGUUACACCCGAAAACUUGCCUGUGAAACCGACCGUUUUCAAGACGAGAACGAUGUAAAGAGCAAGAAGACCAUAGAGGAGGAGGUGUUGAUUCACUUUGAUGAUUGCCAUACUGCAUAUGAUGUGGAGAAAUUUUCGUGGGCUUUUAUGGAGCAGUUUUCCUUCAUUUCCAUGUCGCGUGGAGUAAAUUUCCAUGAAAUUAAUUAACUAUGCCCCUGAAGAUUGAGGUGACAGUUUCCUUGCCGACUUCUCGCUAGCACACACUACAGAGUACCCCCUGUUUGCCAAGCAGGAAAUUACAUUGAGAUGAAGACCUUUUUCCCGGAAAAAAGUUAUCAAUUCCACAGCACUGCUGUUGUCAUUACAAUAUAAAACCUUAUAUUUCAAAAGUAAUGAAAUGUAAUCUAUCUUCUUAGCAUAAUUAUCAAUAGCCAUCAAAGUUCAUUUUCUAACCAAGGCUAUGUUUGAUUCCUAUAAACUACUAGGAAAGAAAAAAAUAAUAAUUUUUUUUUAUAUUUGAUUUUACUAUAUAAAAUACAAAGAAAAAUUAAAUAUAAUUAAAAUUAUUAAAAAAUUCGUAUAUUUUUAAAUUAUUUAAUCUUUAUAAAAAAAGUUGAAUAAAUAAAAAAAAGUUUGAAUUAGUUAGACCUCUAAAUUUAUCUUAAUUUUAUUUUUAUAUUAAUUUUAAGCUCAAUUUUAUCAAUAAAUUGCAAACCCAAUUAUAUUUGAAUUUUUUUGCUAACUUAACUUUUAAUUCUUAAUUUUUAUUAUUUUACAUAUUAUUUUAUUUUUAUUAUUAUUACUAUUAUUAUAUUUUAUUUUUUUCCUUGCCACCUCCCCUCCUCUUCUCCCGNNNNNNNNNNNNNNNNNNNNNNNNNNNNNNNNNNNNNNNNNNNNNNNNNNNNNNNNNNNNNNNNNNNNNNNNNNNNNNNNNNNNNNNNNNNNNNNNNNNNNNNNNNNNNNNNNNNNNNNNNNNNNNNNNNNNNNNNNNNNNNNNNNNNNNNNNNNNNNNNNNNNNNNNNNNNNNNNNNNNNNNNNNNNNNNNNNNNNNNNNNNNNNNNNNNNNNNNNNNNNNNNNNNNNNNNNNNNNNNNNNNNNNNNNNNNNNNNNNNNNNNNNNNNNNNNNNNNNNNNNNNNNNNNNNNNNNNNNUAUAUAUAUAUAUAUAUAUAUAUAUAUUUUAAAAAUUCUCCAAUUAUAUAAAAAAAAAAAAACAACAAUUCCUCAAGGGAACUCGUCUCGUCUCGUGAAGAGACGAGUUCCCUUGAGUAAUUGUUUUUUUUUUUUUUUUUAAUUUGAAAUUUUUUUUAAAAAAUAUAUAUUUUUUUUCAUGGGAACUCGUCUCUUGAGGAAUUGUUUUUUUUUUUUUAAAUUUUUUUAUAAUAAUUUGGGAAUUUUUUUUUAAAAAAAUAUAUAUUUUUUUGAGGAAUUUUUUUUUUGUCAAGAGACAAGUUCCUUGAGGAUUUUUUUUUUAUUAUUUAUAAUUUGGGAAUUUAAAAAAAUAUAUUUUUUUUUCAUGGGAACUCGUCUCUUGAAGAGACAAGUUCCUUGAGGAAUUUUUUUUUACCACUCAAACGUCUUCUUAUUCUCUCUCAUGCGUAAUACCCAUAUUUUUCCUUGACUUUUCCCCCACUCAAAUAUCCUUCCAUCCUCUCUCUUGUGCAUGCAGCCACAUGUUUUGCUCCCAAACCUAUUUAAUAUGUGGGGACCACAUGUUUUGCUCUCAAAUCUCUUAAAUAUAUGGUGGUCCCAGGUGAUUUUCUUUUCUUUGCCAUCUAACCACUCCUAAUAACAAAGUUCCUUGAGGAUUUUUUUUUUAUUUGGGAAAUUUUUUUUCAUGGGAACUCGUCUCUUCAAUUUUUAUUUUUUUUUAAUAAUUUGUGAUUUUUAAAAAAAAAUAUAUAUAUAUAUAUAUUUUCAUGGAACUCGUCUCUUGAAGAGACGAGUUCUCAAGGGGAAUUUUUUUUUAAAAAUAUUUUUUUUUUCAUGUAACUCGUCUCUUGAAGAGACGAUUUCGUCUUUUGAAAUUUGAAAAGAUGAUUUUGGUUUUAAAAAAAAUUUAUCCGUUCACUCUCUCUCCUCUUUACUACAAUAAUUUAAGCAUAAUUUUCUUAAAUUACCGUACUAUUGAGAAAAAUCUCCCCCAAUUAAUGUCUUCCUUUUUUAUGCUCCCCCCCCCCCCCUAUAUGUUGAUGGGGGAUGACUGCUACUUUAUGUGAAUUUUUAUUGUUGUUUUCAGUUAUAAUUUUUUAAUUGUCAAUUAAUAUGUUGANNNNNNNNNNNNNNNNNNNNNNNNNNNNNNNNNNNNNNNNNNNNNNNNNNNNNNNNNNNNNNNNNNNNNNNNNNNNNNNNNNNNNNNNNNNNNNNNNNNNNNNNNNNNNNNNNNNNNNNNNNNNNNNNNNNNNNNNNNNNNNNNNNNNNNNNNNNNNNNNNNNNNNNNNNNNNNNNNNNNNNNNNNNNNNNNNNNNNNNNNNNNNNNNNNNNNNNNNNNNNNNNNNNNNNNNNNNNNNNNNNNNNNNNNNNNNNNNNNNNNNNNNNNNNNNNNNNNNNNNNNNNNNNNNNNNNNNNNNNNNNNNNNNNNNNNNNNNNNNNNNNNNNNNNNNNNNNNNNNNNNNNNNNNNNNNNNNNNNNNNNNNNNNNNNNNNNNNNNNNNNNNNNNNNNNNNNNNNNNNNNNNNNNNNNNNNNNNNNNNNNNNNNNNNNCACUUUCCCAUCACAAUUAUUUUCCAUUAUUAUUAUUAUUAUUUUCUUUAUUUUUCUUGAUUUAAUUUAUGAAAUUUGAGUUAAUUUAGGCUAAAUUAGUUGAUAAUUUAUAUGGUUGUACUCAUUUGAAUUAUUUGAUUUGGAUAUGAUAUAAUAUUAUGGUAUAUUUUGGAUGUGGGUUUUCAUAUUAAAUUGAGUUGAUUUUGAUUGUGGAUUUAAGUUUGCAUAUUAAAUUGGGUUUGGAUUAUGAGAUAUUAAAUUUAGGUUUAAUGAGAUUUAUUUUAAUUUAUCAUGUUUUGGGUUUGAUUAAUUGAGUUUAUAUUUUGGUUAUUAAUUUGGAAACUUUAUACUGUGAUCUAUGAUAUGUGAGAUAUUUUUGUUAAUUUGGGCUCAUUUUUAAUUGAUGAAAUUUAUUGGACUAAUUUGAAGCUUGAAUUUGGGUUUGAAUAAUUAUUUUGGACUCUACAUAUUUUUGAAUAUUUAUAUUUGAGUCAUUUUUGUUUUUGCAUUGACCUAUUCCACAAUUUCGUUAACUGAGUAUGAAUUUAUAACACGUGAAGUGUGAAAUUUCAUGGAAGAAAGUGAGACUCGAAAAGCCAUAGGAAAAUAUUGAACUUAUUGUAAACUUGUUUGAGUACACAUUUUAUUUUUCAGUACUAUUUGGUUUUUAUAAAUAUUUAUUUGUAUAUAUUUAUUUGUUAUGUACAGAAUUGAAUAUCGAACAAAUAAGAAAUUUUGUUUAAAUAAGAGGAAUAAUUCAGUAAAUAUGUUUUAAUAAAAUAAUAAUUUUAAAAUAUUCUUUUUAAUAAAAGAAGGUUUUUUUUAAUAAAAAUUUAGAAAAAUGCUUUUAUAAAAAUAAAAUAAAAUUGUUUUUAAUAGAAUUUGAAAAAUUGUUUUUAAAAAUAAUUGUCCAAAAAUUUCUUUGUUUAAUAAAAAUUGUCCAAAAAUUGUUUUGUAAAUAAAGUUGUCCCAAAAAUUAAUUUUUAAUUAAAAAUUCUUUUGAAAAUAAAGUUAAAUUUUUUAAUAAUUUGUAUAAGUCACUUUUCUUAAAUGAAAACAAAUUGAAAUACUUUUGUAAAUAAAAUUAUAAAAAUUCAUUAUUUUCUGAUAAAAGCAAGUAAAAAUAAUUUUUGCUAUCAAAUUGAAAUUUUGUUAUAAAUUCUUUUGAUAUAAUAAGUGUAAAUGACUUUUUUUUAAAAAUUAAAUACAAAUGAAAUUUAAUCAAAUCAUUAAUUGAAAAAAAUUAAAACUUUUUUUUUGUAAAUAAAUAAAUUGAAAUCACUAAUUCAAAAUUGUUUUUAAUAAAUUUGAAAUUUUAAGAAAACUAUUUUUUUUCAAUUUUUUUUAAUAAAUCAAUUUACAUAAUUCCAUUGUCAUUUAUUUUGUACAUUCUUGUAAUUUUAUUUUGUCAUCAUCUUUGUGUAUAUUGUUUCAUUCCUUUAAUCUUGGUAUUUUAUAAUUAAUUAAUUAAUUAUCACAAUUCCCUUAAUUUGUUUAGUAGAGAUCGUAUGUAUACGGGCUUAGAGGAGUGCUACGGCUCACCACCAUACCUUCCCAAUAGGUAACCUGACCCCAAACCCAGAUUCGGUUUUUCACAAACCUAUUUUUCCUUCAGGAGUCACACUUAGGAUUUUUCUUUCUUAUUUUAUUUCCCUUAAAAAAUAAAACAAAAAUAAGUAUCGAAUUCAAGUCUUUUUCUAAAAAUCAGAUUUUUCACAAAUAAACAAAAAAAACGAGUCUCGCCAUUGAGUGGGAACACACAUUAAAAAAGCGGGUCCACAAUAGUAUAUAAAAAUAAUUUAUAAAUUUAAAUAUAUUUUUUUCCUUUACUUUUUUCUUUUAUUUUUUUCUCUUAUAUUUUCUGAAACCAAACAUAAUCUUAAGGCAGAGUUUGGUUAAAAAAAUACCAACCACAUAUAUUAGUAUCAAUAUGGAUUGAAGGUAGGAGAAUUGGUUGAAACCAAAAUUUAUACAUUAUUUAUUUAUUAUUUCUAAUUAUAUUAUUUAUUAUUUUAUUUAAAUAUGAAAAAAAGAACAAUGAAAGAUCCUUAACCAUGUCAUUUUUAAAUUGUAAUAUAUAUGCUCAUAAUUUAUCAUUUUUAUUUAAUAAUUAAAAUAUUUUUAAAUGUAGAAAUAUGAGUUUAGAGUUCUCAUGUAUUCAUGUUUGCUUUACUAUAAUAUGAUUUAUAUUUAUAGUUUUUAAGUAAGUAUUUAUAGAAAAAUAUUAAUAAUUGGGUUUGGCAUGAAUUUACCUUUUAACCCAUUUAAAGUCCAUAUGUACACAAACAUGAGCCACGGUUCUAAAUGUCAGAAACUUCUCACCAAACGAUGAGGAGAACCUAACUCAAAAUAUUCUUAAAAUAGUUUUCAUUCAUUCUAAAAAAAUUAAAUUUUGUUUGAGAACUUAAAUAUGAAAAAUAAUUUUCUUAAUUUAUUCUCUAUAAUGGUAUUGUACAUUCAUAUAUAAUGCAAAAUAUUUUCAAAGCAUUCUCUAUACUUUUAAUUAUUUUAUACAAAAAACACUAGAAUUAAAAUACUUCAAAUUUAUUCUAGACAAAACAAAUCCUUAAAAAAUUGUUAUCAAUGAACAUUGUUAAAGAUGUCUUUUUGAGUUAGAUACCUGAUUAUUUUUGUUCCAAAAAAUAGAAAAUUAUUUUUAAGAAUAAUUUCUAAAAAAAGGCUUAAACACUGUUUAGUAAUUGUUUUUGAAAAUAAUUUUUGAAAGCUGUUAUGUGAUGUUUUAUAGAAUAGAAGUCUGUUGAGGACUUGAAAUGUUUUUAACCUAUUUUUAAUAUUUUAAAUAUAUUUUAAAAAUGGUUUUUAUAUUUAGUGCUUUAUUUUUAAUUAUCCUCCGUAUUUGUGUAAUUAUUUUUUAAAAUAAUAUUUAGAAAACAAAUGAAAAUACCUAAAAGAUGUUUUCUAUUCUUUAAAAAAGAAAAUAGAAAAUAGUUUUCUAGGUCUUGUUUUGAAAUUUUUUUUAAAAUAGGUCUUAAAAACAAUUUUUGAGUUUUUAAAGACUAUUCUUUUAUAUUUUAUAGAACAAAAAUUUGUUUGAAAACCUAAAAUGUUCUUAACAUGUUUCGAAUAUUUUAAAAUAUGUUUUUUAGAAAUAAAUUUUAUGUUUAGUGUUUUAUUUUUAAUCAUUUUACAUAUUUGUAUACUUAUUUUUUAAAACAAUCAUAAAAAAAUAAGUGAAAAUAACUUAAAACAAUUAUAAGAUGUUAUUUAAAAACAUAAAAUAGAAAAUAAUUUUUAAUUGUCAAACAUGUUUUCUUUAUUUUUUGUUUUUUGUUUUGGAGAAUAGAAACUGUUCCAAAAACAAUUGCCAAAUGUUUUUCUUGCUUUUUUGUUCUAGAUAACAUAAAAUUAUUCUUGAAAAUAAUCGUCAAUUUUGCCAAACAGACCCUUUAGUCAUUUCUUGACAAUUUCCAUCAAGAGAAUUGUCUUUAAAUUCUUCCCGAUGAAAAUUUGAGCUUAUGACAUGCUCUUGGAUGAUUCUCAACACAAUCUAAAACUCCAUGAAUGGUUCAAGUUCUUGGUAAAACUUCACAAAUUCGUCGAUCGCUGAAAAAAUUCAAUUCAUUGAAGCCCUUAUUCUUUAUAAUUUUUUUUUUUAUAAUGUUUUCUCACCAACACAAUUCAUCAAUUACAUAGACAUGACUGCUCAUACAUAAAAUAUCUAACAACAAGGCUUGGUCAUCCUCAUCAUUCUCCUAACCAUGAUCCAAAUCCAUGGAAUACUGGCUAUAGCUGGGAAUUAGACCCGAUAAGAAUGACGUAAAGAGCAAGAAAACCAAAGAGGAUCGAGGAGGUGCUGAUUGACUUUGAUGAUCGCCACACUGCAUAUGCAGUGGAGAUUCAAAGUAGGGUUUAUAUGGAGCUGUUUUCCUUCAUUUCCACGUUGAAUUCAUGAGACUAGAUCUCGCUGAAACAAUGUCCUUGAAAAUUGAGGUGACGGUUUCCUUGGGGAUUCCUAGCUGGCACACACUAAGAGUAUUUUUCUGCCCCUGUUUGGGAAGCAGGAAAUUAGUUUGGGAUAAAAGUCUUCUUCCGGGAAAGUUGUCGCCAAUUCCGCAGCCGGCUCAUUCUUUACACAUCUUAUACAUUUUCUCUCCAACACAAUUCAUCAAUUGCACGACUGCUCCUAUAUAAAAUAUCUAAUAACAAAGCUUGGCCAUACUCAUCAUCCUCCUAACCAUGGCCAUUAGGGGCUCCGCCAUGCCUGCGUUGUUGGUGGGGGUGGUGGUGGUCUGGCUUCUCGCCGCUGAGAUGAUCCGGCCUGCAACUUGUGCAUAUAUAAGCCUGUCCAUGAACAUAACUUUGUUCUUAGCUAGGUGAAAAAAAAAAACAGUUCUUGAUCCCGACUUUAAAAUUGUCAAGUGAUCUAAAUCUAUGGAAUAUUUAGUUAUAGCUGGGAGUUACACCCGAAAACUUGCCUGUGAAACCGACCGUUUUCGUGACGAGAACGAUGUAAAGAGCAAGAAGACCAAAGAGGAGGAGGUGUUGAUUCACUUUGAUGAUCGCCAUACUACAUAUGAUGUGGAGAAAGUUUCAAAUUUGGGCUUUUAUGGAGCUGUUUUCCUUCAUUUCCAUGUUGGAUGGGAGUAAAUUUCCAUGAAAUUAGCUGUCCUUGAAAAUUGAGGUGACAGUUUCCUCGGCGAUUCCUCGCUAUCACAUAUUAAAGAAUACAUUUUUCUGCCCCCCCGUUUGCCAAGCAGGAACUUACCUUGGCGUGAAGUCCUUUUUCCUGGAAAGUUCAUAUCAAUUCCUCAGCACUGCUGUUGUCAUUACGAUAUGAAGUCUGAUAUUUCAAGUAAUGAAAUUUAAUCUAUCUUCUUACCAUAAUUAUUAAUAGCCAUCAAAAUUCAUUUCUAACCAAGGUUUUGAAAAGGUUAGGCUACGUUUGUUCUCAGAAAGUACUGGGAAAAUUAAAAAAUAUUAAUGAAAAUGAUUUUCUUAUAUUUGAUUUUAUUAUAGAAAAUACCAAAAAAAUGAAAUACAAUUAAAAUUAUUAAGAGAUUCUUAUAUUUUUAAAUUAUUUAAUUUUGAUUUAAAGAGCUAAACAAAGUUAAAUAUGUUUGAAGUGGUAUGUAAAAAUGAUUUAUUAAUUUUAAUUUUAAUUUUAAUUUUUUAUUUUCUUUCCCUUAUAUUUUCCCUCAAAUUUUCGAGAAUCAAACAUAACUUUAAGAUAGGGUUUGUUUAAAAAAAAUACUAACCACAAUAUUAGGAUUGGUGUGGAUUGAAGGUGGAAGCACUAGUUGAAACCCAAAUGUAUUCAUUAUUUAUUUAUUAUUUUUAAUUAUAUUAUUAUUAUUUUAUUUAAAUAUGAAAAAAUAAAAAAGAAUAAUAGAAGAACUUCAACCUUAUCAUUUUUAAAUUGUAUUAUAUAUACCGAUAAUUUAUCAUUUUUAUUUAAUAAUUAAAGUAAUUUUAAAUGUUGAAAUAUGAGUUUAGAGUAGUCAUGUAUUCAUGUUUGCUUUACUAGGAGAUUCAAUUUUGAUUUAAUAACUUGUGAUAAAAACCAUGGGAACCCGAGUUGCUAAUAGAUCUUUAAAAAAUUGUUUUCAAUCAAAAUUGUCAAAGAUGUUUUUUAAGAUAAAAAAAGUAAAAAACCGAUUUUUGUUCUAAAAAAUAGGAAAUAAUUUCUAAACAAACUUGUAGACCCCAAAAUUUGUCAUAAUUUUAUUUUUACAUUAAUUUUGAUCUCAAUUUUAUCAAUAAAUUUCAAACUCGAUUACAUUUGUUUUUUUGGCCCACUCAUCCUUUAAUUCUUAAUUUUUAUUAUUUUAUAAAUUAUUUUAUUUUUAUUUUUAUUAUAUAUAUAUAUAUAUAUAUAUAUAUUUAUUUAUUUAUUAUUUUCCCUUUCUUUUCUCUCUAUUCUCUCUUUUCUUUCCACUACCCUCACCUACUCCCAUACCCCUAUGUCCAAAGGCUCUCCAUUUCCAUUUUUUCUUCUCUCUAUAGCCCUUCCCACACACUACCACUCAACUCCAUCGUCAUUGCUGGUGGCAUGACGCCGAUGUCAUUCCCAAUGCCCUUCCACUCAACUCCAUUUUCUUAUUUUUUGUUUUUCAAAAAGCCAUCAAUCUCUCACUGUAGCUGGUAGGGUCACUGGCCAGUUGUUGCUGGCGAACCCUUGCCCGACCGGCGACCACCUCCCAUUUUCUCUCAUUCCCUCACUUUACCAUUACACUCAUUUUCCAUUAUUAUUAUUAUUAUUACUUUUUUUCUUUAUUUUUCUUGAUUUAAUUUUAAUAGUUUUUGUUGUUGCAAUUAGGUUUGUGCAUUUAUAUUUGUUGUGGGCCUUAUGUUUGGGCUUUGUUAAUUAAUAUGAAAUUAAGGUUAAUUUGUUGUUGGUAAAUUAAUAUGAAAUUUGAGAUAAUUUAUUGUUGGUGAAUUAAUUUAGAAUUGGCUAAUUUGGGUUCGAUUAAUUGAUAAUUUAUAUGGUUGUUGUUGAAGCCAGGUCAAUUGGGAGCAAUGCUUCUCCCUUCUUUCCUGCAAAAGAUGGUUGGACAGGUUGUCUAGACAUACCCUUCGAAGCUCAAGUCAGAUGAUUAAAGUCAACUUGAGAGGUUGCCCCCUUUUAGAAGCUAAAAAGGAGUCUCCCUUACGUGCGUGUGUGCACGUACCUUGAUUUUGAGUUGGAGAUGGGCUUUUAUAGUGUCUGGAACAGUGUCACAUCUGUGCUGAGAUGACUUCUUGAUUUUCGUAGUCGUGAUGACAGCAUAGUUGGUGACAGAGCAAUUAUCACCCUUUAGGUGACUGACAGUGAUUGCUAAUGGGGGUGACCUGGUGGUUCACUUGUCACCUCAGUCUGCAGGCGGUAUGGUGCAGCGUGUAGCAGGUUGCCUACGAAGACAGGGUGACGUCCCAUCGAGUAUGCUUCUGGCAUAAGGAGAAUGAUUGCUCGUGGGAGUGGGUUAGGAAACCUAUUCAAAAUGCGUUGCGUAGUUUUAGAGGAACACCAUGUGACCGGCUACUGAUACUUCUAAUCUGGAUUAGAUAUUCAGAUCUGGUUACGCUCGUCCGAACAGAGAUAGAAGGAUGCCAUGUGGUCACACGGGGAAGCCCUUUACAAUGCCUCUUUUUAACCUGAUCAUUUCGGCUGCACAGAAAAAACGGGUUAAAACAUUUUUCAAACCUCUUCAGUGACUGCAUAACAUGUGGCGUCUGGGGGGGCAUUUAUGGAGGAGCAUUGUUAUUGAAGUUGUUGCUAGGCGGCAUGUCGCCUUGAGUGGUGUGUUUUUGGGCACCUUGUCAUUUGGGGUUUCUAGGGAAUUUGCCUCUAUAAAUAAUCCCUAGGAGGCACACCUCUUUGUUGUUUCUUCAUCGAAUUUGCUUUUCGUCUUCUAUUUGCUUUGCAUUUCCCACAUCUAGGCAACGAUUAUUGCCUUCGUGUUGCAACACUUUUUCUUCGACGGUUUUUCGAUUGGUUUAUCUCGAUACUUGUGGUUCGUCUUCGUCUUUUGCUAAAAUCACUUUGUCAGGUACAUUCUUCAUUCUUCUCUGAUACCCCCGAUUUCUCUUUUUUCCUUGGUUGUGUUGUUGGUUUGCGAUUGGGAACCAUUUUGGUGUCUAAGAGUUUUGGUCGGCCACCAAGUGGCUAUUUUGAGGUCUGUAGAAGCGGGUGCAUAACUUUCUAGGGCAAUAGGUCUCGUCAGUGGCGCGCCUUGUUAGCCUCUAUUAGGGUUAGGUUUUGUUGCUUUCAUGCUUUAAGGUUCUGUUGAGUCUGCCUGACGUUUAUUCUUCCUUUGUUUGUUUGGGGUGUCAUAGUGGGAAAUUCCUUGACUAGGAUUGGGGAUUGAUGAGCGAAGUUGGGUACCUUAAACAGGAUAGGCCCUAAAUCUAGCGUGUUAGCCCGUUAGAUGUCUUGGGGCAUUGCCUUCUGGCGGUAGGGUCAGGUAGCUACUUUCUAAUUAUCGGCAUUGUGCCUUGUAGGUCCAACUCGGCCCAUUGCUCCAAGAUGCCUGUGAAAAAGGACAUCGCCUCAUCUAGCGCGAAUGGGCAAGGCAGGAAGGAUGGUCGGGCAGGUGUAAGUUUCGGAUGCCCUAGUUCGGGGAAGCCUAUCGAGCUCCUUAAUGAGCGGGAAUUUCGCGAACGUUUCUUCAUUCUGAAUGGUGUCUUCGUUUAGUUAGUGGAUGAAGAUCCGACGUCCACCGAGAAGGAACCUUAGGGUGCCAUCUUUUUUAGAAUGAACAAUUCAACGUGGGGCUCUUCUUUCCUCUCCCGUAUCUCUUCAAGUAAUUCUUGCACUACACCCAAUUUCCUCCAGCCUACAUCCAUCCUAACAUCGUCCGGGUGCUGAUGAGAUGUAGCAUCUUGAACAUGCUCUUCCAUUUGGACCUCUCUUUGUUAGAGAUUCUCUUCAUCUACACUAUUAAGAAGGGCAAAAAUGAUAUCUUCAGCAUGUUUGCCCAUAUCUCAUCCCUCCAAUUGGUGAUUGGUCUUCCUGACUCGAAUAAGGGUGGAGCCAAAAGGCAUAUCCUGGUUCAGGGACCAUGGGUUGGCUUAAGAGAGCAUCCAAAAAGGGAUUUUGGUCCUAACUUUUCACUAAAAAUUCCUGGUAUGGAUGGCCCUGAGUGCUCAUUCUCUUGUUUUUUCUGUUGAACCGAUGUCGUUUUAAUGCUAACAAUUUUUGUUUUGGUUGGUGCAGGUAAGAAUAGAAAGGGUCGUUUAGUGGAGUGGGUGGAAAAAGCUUUGUUCGUCCGUUUGAACGAGUUGUUCGAGAUCACCACAAACAAAAAGAACCAUCAGAUGCUUCUUUCUGCUCGAAACCUGCUUGCAGUUAUUCGGGAGCCCCAAUCGUACAUUCUUCCCAUAAUUCCUAGGUGGUUUCCCUAAGGUUGUAGUAUCCGGGGAGCAUUUCGUCUUGAAGGAUCUCCCCUUCUAUGAAGAAGCGCACAAGGCAGAUGCUACAGCUUGCCAGGAGCGCCUCGACCAAAGGGAGGAGAAGAGACAAGAGAGGAAGCUAAGAAGGGCUCCAGGUGAAAAAAGUCGGGCUUCGUUUUCCGCGGCCUAUCCUCCAGUCAAGAAAAAGAAGCCUAGUGCGAAAGCAGAUAAGGCUUUAGCUCUGAUUCCUGUAUCGCCUUUUGCUUCUACUCUUUCCGCAUCUACUUCAACGGAUAGCUCCGUUCCAACUUCAAAGGGCAACUUGGACCUCCCAGAUUUCGAAUGAAGUGAUUUCGGUACUCGCCAUUCCGAGCUCGAGCCCAAGCCUAUAACACUCAGAGUCAUAAACGAGCCGCAUGUGGAGGACGACAUGACGACUGAUUUGAGAGCCAGCUGCAAGGAGAGGCAUCGAAAACGCCUUCAUGAGGCUAUCGAAGUGGUUACCCUUCCAACAAAAAUAGCCUAUCCAAAUGGGGUUCAGGAAGAGCCCAUAAGAGAUAUUCAUCCGAUGCCAACGCUUCCAUCGGAUGCUGUGGGGCCUAGCAGCGUGUUGACUGCUGAGAAGGAGAUUGGCCCGGCUCAGAACGGGGCUCUUGGUUGUGCGGUCCCCGUCAAGGAGGUUUUGGAUUAGAAGGACAUCUCUGCUUCCACUUCCCAUCCUAGUUGGGAUGAGAUGAUGGAAAUGCUGAGACGGGUACCGUGUUUCAUCGAUACUAAGCCGCCUUCCAAAAAAAUGUCGGAUUUCUUCUCUCUCACCAAGCCGAUCUCGGUGAACUUGGGUGGUGAGCCUCCCGAUUUCGUUUCAGCCUAGCUCCUAUUUGGUACGCCCGAGUCCGUCGUCUCCCGUAUUCAACAACUACAGGAUUGCACGGUGUAGGAGAUUGUGGAAGUGGUAUUUUUUUUUUUGCUUUCCUCCUUUCGUGAUAACAUGAACUCGAGUAUCCAGUCCUAAUUUUCCUUUCGUUAUUGCCUUCAGGUGGUAAUCGGAGUCCGCAACAUAGUGCGUCAGCGUGCUCUACUUUUUGAGCGGCUGGAGGUUGUUGAGGCUAUGUGGACUUUCAUCUCCCACCGUAUGAGCAGCGGUAAAAAGUUGCAUGCAAAAUUGGAGCGAGUGGAGAGCGAUCUUGCUGCCGCUUAGAAGGCUGCUGUGGAGAGAGCCGAAGCUUUGAAGUUGGCUAAAAGGGAGAAGGAAACGAUCCGUAUCGAGGCGAACAAGUUGAGGGAGGAAGACAGGACCGCGGAGGCUAAACUCAAAAAGGCUGAGCAGGAAAAUGCUUAACUGAAGAAGGAGAUGGAGGAGCUCAGGGCUGGAUUCGUGGCUCAGAAGAAGGAGAUGAAAGAGCUUCAAAUUGGGUUUGCCGCUUAGAGGAAUGAGUUGUAGAUGGAGUACUAAAAGCAAGUGGAUGAGAUGUACUUCUUCGGCUACCGCUGCUGCAUGAAGAAGAAUGGCAUUACCCAAGACAUUCACUUUCUCCCUUUCGAUGAUGAGAAUGAAGUACCUGAAGGUUUUUCCCGAUGAGACGACAUUCUUACCGUGUUCGACCCUCUGAACGAGUCACAACACAUAUUUUUCUUUAUUACUGGAUAGUUUAUCUUCUGCCAUGAUUGAUCUAGCCAACGAUUUGUAAAGAAAAAUUUUAUACUUAUGAUUACAAAUGCAACAUUCCAUUGUUCUUCUUGCGUACUUUACUCAUUUUUCCUUUACUGAUAGUACUGUUUUAGAUUAGAUACAUUCCAUGAGUGGAGUAAGGGCGUUUCGUCUAACUUUUGAAAAUGGUAAGACCCAGUUUCACUUACCUUUGAGACAAUGUAGGGUCCUUUCCAGUUUGCUUGGAGCUUCUCGACUCUCUUUUUGGUUGUAUUUUCAAAGACUUUUUUUAGGACCAGUGUCCCAACCUUAAAGGCACGGGGUUGGACUUUCCGAUUGUAGUAGGCAGCUAUCAUUUGUAGAUAGGAGGCCAUCCAAAUGGACACACUUUCUCUCACUUCGUCUGCCUAAUCUAGGUGUCUUCCAAGUUCUUAACCUUCGUCCCUUUGAACCUGUAUGGCGGUUCGGGUUGUGGGCAUGCCUAUUUUUGUGGGGAUGACUACGUAUAUCCCGUAUGCAAGAGCAAAUGACGUGUUUCUCGUUGGUCGUCUAGGUGUUGUCUAGUAGGCCCACAGGACGUUGGGCAACUCUUCCACAUAUUUUUCUUUGGCUUUCUCCAUUAUUUUCUUCAACGCAGAUAGCAAGGUUUUGUUCGUUGCUUCUACUUGCCCCUUACUUUGAGGGUAUCGUGGCGUGGAGUAUAAAUUUUUUAUUUUCAGCUCCGAACAAAAAGUUCUGAAUGUGAUGCUAUCAAACUGCGGCCCAUUGUCAACUAUAAUCGCUUGGGGAAUUCCGAACCGAUCGAUGAUGUUUUUCCAAACAAACUUAGAAAUGUCCUUAUCUUUGAUGUUAGCAUAAGCUUUCGCCUCUACCCAUUUGCUAAAGUAGUUGGUGGCCACAAUCAGGAAUUUCUUUUGAGCAGCUGCGACAGGUAGGGGCCCUACUAUGUCCAUCUCCCACUGCGCCAAUGGCCAAGGGUUCGUUAUUGGGUUGAGAACUUCGGAUGGCAUGCAUGGAAUGAGUGCAUGUCUUUGGCAUCGGUCACAUUUUUUGACAUAGGCUUUCGAGUCUUGCUUCAUGGUGGGCCAAUAAUAUCCUUGUGAGUGGGCACUAUGUGCUAAGGAUAGUCCUCCUGUGUGAUUGCUACAUAUGCCUUCAUGCAGCUUUGCCAACACAUAUUGAGCUUCCGUACUAUCUAAGCACCUGAGAUACGACCCUCCAAAGGAUCGCCUAUAGAGGCAGUUUCCGAUCAAUGUGAAGCGGGCAACCUGCAUCCGGACCUUAUGUGCAUGUUUGCUAUUUUCGGGCAAGUGUCCUGUUUAGAGGUAGUUUUCAAUUUCACGCGUCCAUUUCGUGUCUUCUUCUCUAACGCUAUAGAUAGGUGUGAUUGCAAUUGAGGAAGUGGGUUGGAGGUGGAUGGACAUCAAUAUUGCCUUUUUCACGAGAGGUGUAGCAGCUACUCCAGCCAAGGCAUCGACUUGUACAUUUUCUGUUCGGGGAAUCCUCUUGAUAGCCUAUUCGUUUAAUUGAUUCAGGGUAUCUUGUACUUUAGUUAAGUAUUGAGACAUGCAUUCGUCUUUAUUCGUAUUCUCCUAGGAUAUGCCCAACAAUGAGUUGAGAGUCGCUACAAAUUUUGAGCUUGGAAGCUGAGAGUGCAAGUGUGAGGUUCAAUCCAGACAAGAUGACUUCGUAUUCUGCUUCAUUGUUAGAUGCUAGAAACCUAAGUCGGAUGGCCUACUCCAACUAUUCCCCAAUCGGCGAUUGUAAGAGGAGGCCCACCCUGGAUCCGGAGGUCCAAGAGACUUCAUCGACGUGUAGAGUCCACCAUCCCUCUUUGCCUGACUCUAUAAGUCAAGGGGGUUGCUGGAGAACCUCCGCUAUGAAAUCAACCAUGACUUGUCAUUUUAUGGACAACCUGGGCUGAUAUUCGAUUCCGUACUCACUCAAUUCUAUGGCCCACUUCAACAUCCUUCCUGAGAGAUCAAGUUUGUGCAAAAUACUUUUGAGGGGCUGGUUGGUGAACACGACUAUUGGAUGGGCUUGGAAAUAGGGGCGGAGCUUCUGAGCGGCGCUUCUCAAGGCUAAGGCUGUUUGCUCCAUCUUCGAGUAUUUAGUUUCUGCGUCGGCCAUUGCUUUGUUGAUAUAAUAGACGAACAUUUUCUCUUUGUCUGGUAUGUAAUGAAACAAAACAACGCUGACCGCCUAGUUGGAAACUACUAAGUACAUGUAUAAUUGCUCGCUUAGCUGAGGGCUGCUCAGUAUGGGUGGUUGUGUGAGAUAAUGCUUGAUUUCCUCAAAUACAGACUGACAGUCUUCUGUUCACCCUGUCGUGUUGGCUCUCUUUAGCACAAGGAGGAAGGACCUUAGUUUGUCUGUGAACCGGGCUAUGAAGCGUCCUAGUGCGACGAGUCUAUCGGUGAGGCGCUGCAACUCCUUCUUGUUGCUAGGGGCAAAUGUUUUCAUGACAACUUUAAUUUUAUCCGGGUUGACUUCUAUCCCCAUUUGAGUGACCAUAAACCCCAAGAACUUGCCUGCACUUACCCUAAAGGCACACUUGGACUGAUUGAACUUCAUGUCGUACUUUCUCAACAGGUGAAAGACUUCUUCUAAGUGCUGAUCAUGUUCACUCCUGGUUUUGCUUUUAACCACGAUGUCAACAAUAGAGUUUAUGUGAUGUUAUGAAGGCAGUUUUUUCUUCAUCUAGUGGGUACAUGGAAAUUUGAUGGUACCCAAAAAAGGCAUCCAGGAAAGAGAGCAUUCUAUGUUUGACAGUGGAAUCCACUAUUUGGUCUAUCCAUGGUAGAGGAAGACUGCCUUUAGGGCAAGCGUUGUUGAGGUUAGUGUAAUCGACGCAGACUCGCCAUUUCCCCUCUUUUUGGGGACUACAACCAUGUUUUCCAACUAGUCUGGAUAUUCAACCUCCAUAAUAAAUUUGGUUGCCAGUAACUUGUCUAUCUCAUCCUAAAUGAUUCUUUGCCUAUCCAGGUGAAACCGUCGGACCUUCUGGCAAGUAGAUCUUGACGAUGGUAGUAUGUUAAGUUGAUGGGUGAAUCCCGGGCAAGUCAGAGUAUGUCCAUGUGAAAACAUCUUUGUUUCACUGAAGCGUCCCUUUGAGGUGUCGUGCCUCGUUUGGUUCUAAGAGGGAACUGGUGUAAGUAAAGUGACCAUCUUCCUCUGAGAUCUGGAUGGUCUGCAAGGGAUCGACUACCAAGGAAUCCUUAUCCGUCAGAUACUGUAAUUGCUAUUGAUCGGCCACGCUUGCACGUUCGGGAGAAGGUUCGUGAUCACUACUAGGUUCGGCUUCCUUUGCCACUUGGUAGCACUGUCGGGCUGCCAAUUGGUUACCAUAAAGAUUAAUAUGUCCACCUUCAGUAAGAUAACUCACCAUCUGAUCAUAUGUAGAAGGGAUGACUUCCAUGUCAUGCAACUAGGUGCGUCCCAUUAUGGCAUUGAAUGAGAAUAGGUCAUCUACUACUGAGAACUGCACGUUAAGGGUAACAGGGCUGGCUUGGAUUGGUAACACGAUGUCGCCCAGAGACGUUGUAGAAGCUCCAUUGAAUCCUGACAAUAUCCGCCUAGGAUUUUCCAGAUUCAAUGGUGUAUAUCCCAUUUGUUUGAUCACAGAUACCUGUAAGAGGUUUGCUGAGUUACCCGGAUCGACCAAGAUUCAUCUUACAUCGAAGUCACUGAUUCCUAAUGUUAGGAUAAGGGCAUCUCGGUGUGGUUGCAAUAUUCGGUUGGGGUCUAUUGGGGGAAAAGUGAUUACCCUGUCUAUUGAGCAAGUGAUCCCGUUGGUUAAUUUAGGUUGGAUGUAGCUAACCUUCUCCCAUACAGAGGCGACUUGAAGCAACUUCUGUCUCUUUUGUUUGGAGUUGUAUUCCUCAUCGAGGGGUCCACUAUGGAUAUAGUUGAUCAUGGCUCUAGGAGCAACAAAAGUUGUGGGGGCUGUGGUGGCUGAACCCCGGGAUGUCUCCCCACUUUUGCCUUCUAAGCGAACGUACCAUUUCAAGUGUCCAGCUUUUAUAAGCUUUUCUACCAAGUAGUGGAGACUUCUACAUUGCUCUGUGGUGUGCCUGUGCUCUUUGUGGUAGACACAUUUUCUAUUGCGAUCUCUCUUAGCUAGGUUUGUUUUUAGGGGCUCUAGCCACCUGAAGUCGGACAGCUCGCAUAUCAGGGGGAGAAGUUUCUUGUACGAAACGUUGAGGGGGGUGAGAUUGGACUAGUCUGGCUAGUGCUGUUCGCCUUGCCCCCUGCUUGAUUACCUUUGUUGGCUCAUGGUUUUGGGAUUCCUAAGCGCGUAGUUCUUGGCCGGUUGGCCAGUGACCAAGAUCUGCUAGGUGGCUGCGCAGACAUCGUCUUUAAGCAUAGAAUAUUUGUUCGCCCGUCUAAACAGAUGAUCCAUAGUCAUGGGAGGUUUUUUAGCGAGGGACUCGAAGAAUGGCGUGCCCGGGCAUAUACUCCGCUUAAAGAUUUGGAGGAUAACGUCCAUGCUAUAAGAUUCUACCUGGAGUACAGCUUGCCCAAAUUGUUUUACGAAUUCCCUCAACGAUUCAUUCUCUUGUAUUUUUAUUUUUUGCAGGGUGCUGAUAUUUUACUUAUGUCGUGUUGAGCACAGAUAUUGUCCCACGAAGGCCUUUGAUAGAUCCCGAAAAUUAUCGACGGAAUUCAUUGGGAGGUGGUGGAACCAUGAGAGAGCCUGACCUUGGAGGCUGGCUGGAAAGACUUUGCAUAACAGCGCGUCAUUCCUUAUGUCGAGGGUCAUGAGUUGUCUGUAGUGCAUGAUAUGAUCAAAUGGAUCUCUAGAUCCAUCGUACGCAAAGAAUUUCGGCACGAUGAACCCUUUUGGGGGCUCGUAAUUGAUAAUACGAGAGCUGAAAGACAUGGAGAACAUGUCAUCCAACUGCCUGUUGAUAGAGCCGGGAGGGCCUCUAUUUGCCAUAUCCCCUCCGAUUUUUUGUAGUGGAGGGUGCGGAGGACAAUUCGGUAUGAUGGGUGCAAUUGAGGGACCAGGAUACGCCUCUUGGGCUAUAGUUGCACAUGACUUCUCCACACCGGGUGUUUGUGGUCCUAACCUUGCGUGCAUCGCAUCCAAUAAUUGGGACUUCCUAUCGCAUAACCUUUUUUUAAGAGACACGAGUGGAGUCCGAGCUUUCAUCUUGUGGUGCGUGAUACGCUGGCAGGGUUCUUUCAUCAGGCCAUACACCGUGCACGUCAGAGAAGGGCUCUGUGUUUCUGGGGUAUGUUGUCUCCUGGUUCUGCCUGGAGUUUGUUUGUUGGCUCCUCGGUUGCCGAUCGCGGGGAGGGCUUGAUGAAGAUGUUUGAAUCCUUAACACAUUGUUCUCCUCCCUGAGUCUCCUUGUUUCUUGGAGCAGGGCCUGUACUUAUCGCUCGCUUUCUCGCUAGUGUCUUUCCAUACUCUCACGCUAGUCAAAGUAACCUUCAUUGCCCAUGGCUGAUGAUCGACUCCUUGAGGGUGUGGACACCUUCGUUUUGUAAUUCCCACAGACGACGCCAAUGUUGAAGCUAGGUCAACUGGGAGUAAUGCUUUUCUCUUCUUCCCUGCAAAAGAUGUUCGGAUAGGUUGUCCGGGCACACCCUCCGAAACUCAAGUCAGAUGAUUAAAGUCAACUUGAGAGGUUGCCCCAUUUUAGAAGCUAAAAAGGAGUCUUCCUUACGUGUGUGCGCACGUGUACCUUGAUUUAAAGCUAGAUGAGGGCUUUUAUAGUGUCUAGAACGGUAUCACAUUUGUGUUGAGACGACUUCUUAACUUUUGUAGUCAUGGUGACAACACAGUUGGUGAUAGAGCAAUCAUCACCCUUUAGGCAAUUGAUAAGGAUUGCCAGUAGGUGUGACCUGAUGGUUCACUUGUUAUUAUUAUUAUUAUUAUUAUUAUUAUUAUUAUUACUACUACUACUAAUUGUUGUUGAAAUUAGGUUUGUGCAUUUAUGUUUGUUUGUGGGUCUUAUAUUUGAGCUUUGUUAAUUAGUAUGGAAUUUAGGUUAAUUUGUUGUUGGUAAAUUAAUAUGAAAUUUGAGAUAAUUUAUUGUUGGUGAAUUAAUUUAGAAUUGGCUAAUUUGGGUUCAAUUAAUUGAUAAUUUAUAUGGUUGUGCUUAUUUUAAUUAUUUAAUUUGGAUAUGAUAUAAUAUUGUGGUAUAUUUUGGAUGUGGGUUUGUAUAUUAAAUUGGGUUGAUUUUGGUUGUGGAUUUAGGUUUGUAUAUUAAAUUGAGCUUAAAUUAUGGAAUAUUAAAUUUGAGUCUAAUGAGAUUUAUUUUAAUUUAUCAUGUUUUUGGUUUGAUUAAUUUAGUUUAUAUUUAACUAUUAAUUUGGAAAUUUUAGAUUAGAGCCUAUGACAUGUGAGAUAUUUUUGUAGGGUUAUAUUUGCUAAUUUGGACCCACUUUUAAUUGAUGAAAUUUGUUGGACUAUUUUGAAAUUUGAAUUUGGGCUUGAAUAUUUAUUGUAAAUUUUAUACAUUUUUAGAUAUUUACAUUUGUACUAUUUUUGUUUUUGCAUGACCCUCUUUUAUAAUUAUGUUGGCUGAGUACGAAUUUAUGACAUGUGGAGUAUAGAAUUUCGUGGGAGAAAGUGAUUGAAAAAGCUGUAGGAAGACAUUGAGCUUGUUGUAAGCUUAUUUUGUUACACGUUUUAUUUGAUUUUAUUUUUAUUAGUUUUUGUAAAUAUUUUUUUGUAUAUGUUUAUUUGUUGUGUACAGAAUUGGAUAUCGAACAAAUCAGAAAUUUGGUUUAAAUAAGAUAAAUAAUUCAGUAAAUAUGUUUUAAUGAAAUAAUAAUUUUAAAAUAUUCUUCUUAAUAAAAGAAUUUUUUUUAUUAUUAAUAAUAAAAAUUUAGAAAAAUAUUUUUAGAAAAAUCCAAAAAAAUUGUUUUUAAUAUAAUUUGAAAAUUUGUUUUUAAUAAUGAUUGUUCAAAAAUUUCUUUGUUUAAUAAAAAUUGUUCAAAAAUUGUUUUGUAAAUAAAGUUGUCCCAAAAAUUAAUUUUUUAAUUAAAAAUUCUUUUGCAAAUAAAGUUAUAUAUUUUUUUUAAUAAUUUGUAUAAGUCACUUUUCUCAAAUGAAAAUAAAUCGAAAUUCUUUUUUUUUUAAUAAAAUUGUAAAAAUUUAUUUAUUUUUUGUAAAAAUAAUUUUUGUGCCCAAAUUGAAAUUUAGUAAUAAAUUCUUUUGCUACAAUAAGUGUAAAUAACUUUUUUAAAAAUUGAAUACAAAUGAAAUUGAGAAAAUAAAUUAACUUUUUUUUUUGUAAAUAAAUAAAUUGAAAUCAUUAAUUGAAAAUUGUUUUUAAAAAAAUUCUUUGAAAUUUCUUGAAAACUGAUUCUUUUGAAAUAUUUUUUUAGUUCAAUAAAUCAUUUUGCAUAAUUCUCAUAAUUUAUUUUACGUAUUCUUGUAAUUAGAUUUCAUCAUUAUUUUUGUGUAUAUUGAUUUUCACCAUGAUUUGUACAUACUCAUUUGCAUGAUUAUUUUUCUUGGUAUCCAUAAUUAAUUAAUUAAUUGUCACAAUUCCCUUAAUUCGUUUAGUAGAGGUCGUACGUAUACGGGCUUAAAAGGGCGCUAGGACUCACCACCGUACCUUCCCAAUAAGUAACCUGACCCUCGGACUUAGAUUUAGUUUUUCACAGACCUAUUUUUCCUUUAGGAGUCACACUUAGGGUGUUUUUUUUUUUUUUUUUUUUUCUUAUUUUGUUUUUUCCCUUUAAAAAAAAACAAAAAUAAGUAGUGGCUCCAAGUUUUUUUUUUUCAAAAAAUUGAAUUUUCACCAAAUAAAUAAAUGAAAAGCGAGUCACGUCGUCGAGUGGGAAUGCACGUGAAAAACGCGGGUCCACAAAACCCUUAAUUAUUUCAUAAUUGACAACAUCUUUCUUGGCAAUUCCCACCAUGAGAAGUGUCUUUAAAUUCCUUAUGUGGAAAGUCCGAGCUUUUCACACGUUCUUGGGUGAUUCCCAACACACAAUCUAAAACUCCAUGUAUGCUUCAAGUUCUUUGUAAACUUCACAAAUUCAUCACGUCAAUUCAUCUUGAUAUAGAUGGCUGAAAAAAUUCAAUUCAUUGAAGCCCUUAUUCUUUAUACAUCUUCUAUGUUUUCCCACCAUCCCACAAUUUAUCAAUUACAUUACUACUAUAUAAAAUGUUUAGUACACUAAACCAUAUAGUUUAAGAUUUUUAAUUUUGUUUCAUUCAUUCUGACAUAGGAUCUUUCUAAAUAGUGACUUACAUUCUCAUUGAAAACUCAAGAUUGCUAUUUGAUCAACCGAGACAUCAUAUGUAAGUCUAGAAAGGUUUGGAAAAAGGCAUACUAGGAUUAAAAAGGUAAGGUGGGUCAAAUAGUUAAAAUUGUACAAAAAGCCUUCUAAAAUUGCUUUAAAAUUUGCAACAACGCUUAAGUGAUGGCUAAAACACUUGAGUGUUAAAGCUAACACUCAAGCACAUUUAGGCUUUGUUUGACAACUAUUUUGGAGAAUAGUUUUUUAUUAUCUAGAACAAAAAAAAUUGAAAAACAUAUUCUACAACUAGAAAAAUUAUUUUUUGUUCUCUAUUUUUAAAAAUAGAAAUACGAUGUUUUGAGAUAACAUCUUUUAGUUGUUUUCAUUUGUUUUCUGAGGUUGUUUUAAAAAAUAAGUUUACAAGUAGGGAGAUGAUUAAAAAUAAAGUAUUAGAUAUAAAAAUUGUUUUUAAAAACAUUAAAAAUAUGUUAAAAACAUUUCAGAUUCUCAAACAGAUUUUUGUUUUGUAUAACAUUAGAGAACAAUUCUCAAGUAGAAUUACUUUUCAGAAUUAUUUUAAAAAACAAUUACCAAACAAAAGGCCUUAAGUGCUUAAACGCUCAAAGUGGUUUUUGCUAGAUUUUGAUAGUUUGCCAUUUAGAAACUUAUGAUUUUAUUUUUGGGAUUUAUCCCGUGUCCAAACCUCUAGGUCUUAGCCUAUAUAUGCUCGACCUAAACAGGUUUUUGGGUUUGAUGCUCACAUUAAAAAAACCCUAGUUUGCCUUCCCAUUCCGAAAUCUUUCAGAAAAUACUUCAUGCUUUUUUCGGAUUAUUGAAAGAGAUCUACAUCACCUCAUAAGCCGAGAUAGGAUCCAUUGGAGCAUAUGAGGUGCUACAUCGCGAACGAGGAUCAUAGUGUAAGUUCUAAAGAGUAAGUCUAAAGAUAGCUUCUGGGAGGUAAUUUGUGUACUAUGUUUUCAUAUAAGAGCUAGAAUGUUGAUUCAAGGUCUUUGACCCCAUGGUUUUUUAUCUUCACAUUUUGUGUAAAGGUGUUUCUCAUAAAAGGAAUUCUCUUAUCCCUUGUGUUGUUUUUCUUUGGAUUUCUCUAAAUAAGAAUUGAGAUGGUUAUAUAAUUGAAAAUAUUUAACUUUUGGGGGUUAAGAAUGAAAACACGUAUUCACUCCUCUCUAGGUGCAUGUUACCAUGCUCAUUGGUUUUUCAAAAAUAUCUAACAAGGCUUAGUCAUCCUCCUAAUUAACCAUGAUCCAAACCCAUAAUAUUGGUUGCAAGUGGGAAUUAAACCUGAAAAUUUUCCUGCGAAACAAAUGGUUUUAGAGAUGAGAAUGAUGUAAAGAGCAAGAAGACCAAGGAAGAGGAGGUGCUGAAUCACUUUGAUGAUCGCCAUACUGCAUAUGCAGCGGAGAGAGGUUCAAAGUAGGGUUUAUGUGGAGCUGUUUCCCUUCAUUUCCACGUUGAAUUCAUGAGACUAGAUUUCGAUGAAACUAUGUCCUUGAAAAUUGAGGUGACAGUUUCCUUGGUGAUUCCUAGCUGGCACACACUGAGAGU